AUACGGAGGAUGCGAGCGUUAUCCGGAUUUAUUGGGUUUAAAGGGUGCGCAGGCGGGCGAUUAAGUCCGCGGUGAAAGGCUCGGGCUCAACCGGAGCAGUGCCGUUGAUACUGGUUGUCUUGAAUGCGGUCAAGGCCGGCGGAAUGUGGCGUGUAGCGGUGAAAUGCAUAGAUAUGCCACAGAACACCGAUAGCGAAGGCAGCUGGCCGGGCCUGCAUUGACGCUGAGGCACGAAAGCGUGGGGAUCGAACAGGAUUAGAUACCCUGGUAGUCCACGCUGUAAACGAUGGACACUCGUUGUCGGCGACAGACAGUCGGCGGCCAAGCGAAAGUGAUAAGUGUCCCACCUGGGGAGUACGGUCGCAAGGCUGAAACUCAAAUGAAUUGACGGGG
rnacentral:rRNA from 1 species